UACAGAGGUCUCAAGCGUUGUUCGGAUUCAUUGGGCGUAAAGGGUGCGUAGGUGGCGCCAUAAGUCAGGUGUGAAAUCUCGGGGCUCAACUCCGAAACUGCACUUGAUACUGUGGUGCUCGAGUACUGGAGAGGAGAGUGGAAUUUACGGUGUAGCAGUGAAAUGCGUAGAUAUUAGGAAGAACACCAGUGGCGAAGGCGGCUCACUGGCCCGGUACUGACGCUGAGGCGCGAAAGCGUGGGGAGCAAACAGG
rnacentral:rRNA from 1 species